rnacentral:rRNA from 1 species
UACGGAGGGUGCAAGCGUUAUCCGGAUUCACUGGGUUUAAAGGGUGCGUAGGUGGGCAGGUAAGUCAGUGGUGAAAUCUCCGAGCUUAACUCGGAAACUGCCGUUGAUACUAUUUGUCUUGAAUAUUGUGGAGGUAAGCGGAAUAUGUCAUGUAGCGGUGAAAUGCUUAGAUAUGACAUAGAACACCAAUUGCGAAGGCAGCUUACUACACAACGAUCGACGCUGAGGCACGAAAGCGUGGGGAUCAAACAGG